GUGGGGAAUAUUGGACAAUGGGGGGAACCCUGAUCCAGCCAUGCCGCGUGUGUGAAGAAGGCCUUAUGGUUGUAAAGCACUUUAAGCGAGGAGGAGGCUACUGAGACUAAUACUCUUGGAUAGUGGACGUUACUCGCAGAAUAAGCACCGGCUAACUCUGUGCCAGCAGCCGCGGUAAUACAGAGGGUGCGAGCGUUAAUCGGAUUUACUGGGCGUAAAGCGUGCGUAGGCGGCUUUUUAAGUCGGAUGUGAAAUCCCCGAGCUUAACUUGGGAAUUGCAUUCGAUACUGGGAAGCUAGAGUAUGGGAGAGGAUGGUAGAAUUCCAGGUGUAGCGGUGAAAUGCGUAGAGAUCUGGAGGAAUACCGAUGGCGAAGGCAGCCAUCUGGCCUAAUACUGACGCUGAGGUACGAAAGCAUGGGGAGCAAACAGGAUUAGAAACCCUUGUAGUCC
rnacentral:rRNA from 1 species